AACGAACGCUGGCGGCAGGCCUAACACAUGCAAGUCGAGCGAAGCCUUCGGGCUUAGCGGCGGACGGGUGAGUAACGCGUGGGAACGUGCCCUUUGGUACGGAAUAGCCCCGGGAAACUGGGAGUAAUACCGUAUGUGGUCGAGAGACGAAAGAUUUAUCGCCAAAGGAUCGGCCCGCGUUGGAUUAGGUAGUUGGUGGGGUAAUGGCCUACCAAGCCGACGAUCCAUAGCUGGUUUGAGAGGAUGAUCAGCCACACUGGGAUUGAGACACGGCCCAGACUCCUACGGGAGGCAGCAGUGGGGAAUCUUAGACAAUGGGGGAAACCCUGAUCUAGCCAUGCCGCGUGAUCGAUGAAGGCCUUAGGGUUGUAAAGAUCUUUCAGUGGGGAAGAGAAUGACUGUACCCACAGAAGAAGCCCCGGCUAACUCCGUGCCAGCAGCCGCGGUAACAC
rnacentral:rRNA from 1 species